rnacentral:tRNA from 1 species
GGCCUGCUAGCUCAGUCAGUUGAAGCGUCGUGCAAAUAACGCGAAGGUCGUAGGUUCGAUCCCUGCGCAGGCCA